AUUGAACGCUGGCGGCAGGCUUAACACAUGCAAGUCGAGCGGGGACUUCGGUCCUAGCGGCGAACGGGUGAGGAAUGCUUGGGAAUCUGCCCAGUAGCGGGGGAUAACGUUUCGAAAGGAACGCUAAUACCGCAUACGCCCUACGGGGGAAAGGGGGGGCUCUUCGGACCUCUCACUAUUGGAUGAGCCCAAGUCGGAUUAGCUAGUUGGUGAGGUAAAGGCUCACCAAGGCGACGAUCCGUAGCUGGUCUGAGAGGAUGACCAGCCACACUGGAACUGAGACACGGUCCAGACUCCUACGGGAGGCAGCAGUGGGGAAUAUUGGACAAUGGGCGAAAGCCUGAUCCAGCCAUGCCGCGUGUGUGAAGAAGGCCUUCGGGUUGUAAAGCACUUUAAGCGAGGAGGAAUGGCUCUGGGUUAAUACCCUUGAGCAUAGACGUUACUCGCAGAAUAAGCACCGGCUAACUCUGUGCCAGCCGCCGCAGUAACAC
rnacentral:rRNA from 1 species